CUAUGUGGAGUCUAGUGAGUGUAUGUCUAUGUUUGGUUAAUUGGGGUUGGGACUCUCAGUUGAAGGCAGGUGUUGUCUAUCUGCCUUUGAUUGAGAGUCCCAUAUAUUAGGGUGUGUUUGUGUUUGUGAUUUGUGGGUGAUUAUUCUGUGUAUAGCCUUGUGCCUUACCAGACUGUUUGUCGAGUGUUCGUUUUUUCGUUAUUUGGUAUGUUCAUUUUUGAGAGUAAUUAAAAAUCAAGAUGAGCAUUCACGUACCUGCUGCGUUUUGGUCCUCAUUCACCGACAACAACCGUGACAAGAGUUGAAAGAUUGUUGUUGAUGGAUAUAUUGUGUAAUGGUGAAAGUCAGCCUACUUAUAGAAUAGAGUUGAAAGACUUGCAGAUGGAAAUGUUGUUUAGAGGUAAGAGAGCGUUGCAGAUGAUGUGUAGAUCUGAGCGAUUGUUGCAGAUAGAUAUGUAUCGUGUUGAGCUGAAUUGAUUCUCAAUUCUACACGACAGAGAUUCAUGUCUGCUCUCCCCAGGACAUUUCUUUCUGAGUGUUCUGUAACGUUACACGGUCCCGAACGCAACCCGAAUAGCUUGUCUAAAUAGAACCAGGUCAAAGUUUCACUGGGCGUGUCUGCCGUUCAGGCCUGUGGUGUGUUGUAUAUGAAAAUGUUAUCUUGGGAAACACAAACAAGCCAAUACUAACACAGACAGAGGCCUUGCCAGCCCAACAUUGGACUGGAUUUCGUAAGAGUUUCGCAACUCCACUUGAGCAAGACGUUUUUCACGGUCAUCUCUGCCAUCUGUUUAGCACUGUUUGUGGAAUAUUCAUUUUUUGAUUAAUGUGCAUUUACAGGGAUAAUACAUUCGUAUAUGAACGAUGGUUGCAUAACACAGAGAGAGACAAUGAAAUGAGGCCUACCAUGUGUUUUACGCUCAUGAUGCAUUUAUUAUGCAGUAAGAAUGAAACAACUAGGCCUGACAACACUCAGAUUUCCCCCGUUCAGAAUGUCAUUACAGCCCUUGGCUGUUACGUCAUCUUCUUGUCAUCAUGUCUAUCUUCCACCGUAAUUGUUGAUAAAAGUUAAUUGCAAUGUCUCUCCCUUCUUCUCACACAACGACAAAGCAGCCUUUGUGGAGAUCAGCCUAUUAGUCAGGCUGAUGGAAGGUGUGGUUGAUUACUGUGUAGAGAUACUGUCAAUAGAAGGGUUGGUCUCCAGAUUUAGAAAGAUCAGGACUCGACUGGUUAACCCGGUUAUUGUGGGAAAGUAGGUGCAUUUCACUUCAGGUAGUCCAGUGUUUGUGCUGAAUAGUUAGGUUGUGUUUGGUAGUGUUAUUGGCCGUUCGUCACAUCAUUUAAUGGAUGAAUGUUGAUGGAAUGAGAAUGUGUGUGUGAGUAGUUAGUGUGUGAAUGGUGUGUGUAUGUACUCUAGGAGAGUGUGUGUAUGGUUGUGCUGCAGGAUCAAAGGCAGGAUGAGGGAAUGUGUGUAUGUAUCACGGGGCGAGGCAGACAUCUGGGGUCCUCUCCGUUGCCAGCCGUGUGUCAGAGAUGACAGGACUCUGCCCCUCCUGAGGUUUUGUGUGUGUGUGUGUGUGUGUGUGUGUGUGUGUGUGUGUGUGUGUGUGUGUGUGUGUGUGUCCCUCCUUCAGUGGCCAGUGUUUAGAGGACAAAGGAUGUGCUGCAGCUGCUCUAAUUACAGUCUUUCUCAAGUGUGCCGACCACAGGGAGAGUGUGUGUGGGCGGGCGUGCACGCGCGUGUUUGUGUUUGUGUGUGUGUGCGCGCAAUUGCAUGAGUUUGCUGAUGUUUCUGUGCUUGCGUGUCCCCUGCACAGUGGUUUGUACUGUCUGUAUCUGUGAGUACAUUACCACUUAUACAUGUGUUGGAGUCUAUUUAUUUCUGUGUUUAUGAGGGUAUCAAUGACAGACAAAGGCCAAACCCAAUCCCCUCUGAUGCAGGCCAGGCCAGGCCAGGACAGGCUAGCUUGGGCUAGUUUAUCUCCAGGGCCUGCCUGUUUGUUUGUCUGCCUGUCUGUCUGCCUGCCUAUUAUCCCCACAGGCACUGUUCCCUCCUCUGACAUCUGCUUGAUGGCAUGGCCAUUUCAUCACCCUACUGAGGUAGAGGGAAUAACCAGGACAACAGAGAGGUUGGGGAGAACAACAGGGAAUAACCAGGACAGCAGAGAUGUUGGGGAGAAGAACGGGGAGUAACCAGGACAGCACAGGUUAGGGAGAACAACAGGAAAUAACCAGGACAGCAGAGGUUAGGGAGAACAACAGGGAAAACCAGGACAACAGAGGUUGGGGAGAACAACAAGGAAUAACCAGGACAACAGAGAGGUUGGGGAGAACAACAGGUAAUAACCAGGACAACAGAGAGGUUGGGGAGAACAACAGGUAAUAACCAGGACAACAGAGAGGUUGGGGAGAACAACAGGUAAUAACCAGGACAACAGAGAGGUUGGGGAGAACAACAGGAAAUAACCAGGACAACAGAGAGGUUGGGGAGAACAACAGGUAAUAACCAGGACAACAGAGAGGUUGGGGAGAACAACAGGAAAUAACUAGGACAACAGAGAGGUUGGGGAGAACAACAGGAAAUAACCAGGACAACAGAGAGGUUGGGGAGAACAACAGGGAAUAACCAGGACAACAGAAGUUGGGGAGAACAACAGGGAAUAACCAGGACAACAGAGAGCAUGGGGAAUAACAACAGGGAAUAACCAGGACAGCAGAGAGGUUGAAGAGAACAACAGGAAAUAACUAGGACAACAGAGGAUGGGGAGAACAACAGGAAAUAACCAGGACAACAGAGAGGUUGGGGAGAACAACAGGAAAUAACCAGGACAACAGAGAGGUUGGGGAGAACAACAGGGAAUAACCAGGACAACAGAGAGGUUGGGGAGAACAACAGGAAAUAACCAGGACAACAGAGAGGUUGGGGAGAACAACAGGAAAUAACCAGGACAACAGAGAGGUUGGGGAGAACAACAGGGAAUAACUAGGACAACAGAGAGGUUGGGGAGAACAACAGGAAAUAACCAGGACAACAGAGAGGUUGGGGAGAACAACAGGAAAUAACCAGGACAGCAGAGAGGUUGGGGAGAACAACAGGAAAUAACUAGGACAACAGUGAGGUUGGGGAGAACAACAUGGAAUAACUAGGACAACAGUGAGGUUGGGGAGAACAACAGGGAAUAACCAGGACAACAGAGGCUGUGGAAGAACAACAGGGAAUAAACUACGACAACAGAGGGUGGGGAAGAACAACAGGGAAUAACUAGGACAACAGUGAGGUUGGGGCGAACAGCAGGAAAUAACCAGGACAACAGAGAGGUUGGGGAGAACAACAGGUAAUAACCAGGACAACAGAGAGGUUGGGGAGAACAACAGGAAAUAACCAGGACAACAGAGGUUGCAUGGAGGGAUGUGAGAGGAGGUAGAGAAAGAGAUAGAUGGAGUGAAGGAUAGAUGGAGUGAAGGAAGAAUGGAUGGAUAGAGGGAUUGUGGAAGGUUUUGGUGAAGGGGAGUGACUGAUGUGUUGAGGGAGGAGGAAAGGGGGGUAAUUAUGCUUCAGCGUCGCCACGUAGCUUCAGCUGCUAGCUCGAGUCUUGUGGGAUGGACGUGUGUUACACCAGGCUGUUUGAAUAGCUGAGAACGUAUGUCACCUCUCUUUUUAAUCAACCUGACUGGAG
rnacentral:lncRNA from 1 species